rnacentral:rRNA from 1 species
AUAUGGCUCAGAUUGAACGCUAGCGGGAUGCCUUACACAUGCAAGUCGAACGGCAGCACGGACUUCGGUCUGGUGGCGAGUGGCGAACGGGUGAGUAAUGUAUCGGAACGUGCCUAGUAGCGGGGGAUAACUACGCGAAAGCGUAGCUAAUACCGCAUACGCCCUACGGGGGAAAGCAGGGGAUCGCAAGACCUUGCACUAUUAGAGCGGCCGAUAUCGGAUUAGCUAGUUGGUGGGGUAACGGCUCACCAAGGCGACGAUCCGUAGCUGGUUUGAGAGGACGACCAGCCACACUGGGACUGAGACACGGCCCAGACUCCUACGGGAGGCAGCAGUGGGGAAUUUUGGACAAUGGGGGAAACCCUGAUCCAGCCAUCCCGCGUGUGCGAUGAAGGCCUUCGGGUUGUAAAGCACUUUUGGCAGGAAAGAAACGUCAUGGGUUAAUACCCCGUGAAACUGACGGUACCUGCAGAAUAAGCACCGGCUAACUACGUGCCAGCAGCCGCGGUAAUACGUAGGGUGCAAGCGUUAAUCGGAAUUACUGGGCGUAAAGCGUGCGCAGGCGGUUCGGAAAGAAAGAUGUGAAAUCCCAGAGCUUAACUUUGGAACUGCAUUUUUAACUACCGAGCUAGAGUGUGUCAGAGGGAGGUGGAAUUCCGCGUGUAGCAGUGAAAUGCGUAGAUAUGCGGAGGAACACCGAUGGCGAAGGCAGCCUCC